rnacentral:lncRNA from 1 species
AGUGCAACCCCCUCAGGGAACCGGGCAAGUUGAGCCACUAUUAUUCGACCCCUGUUGUAGGGCUAGUAACAUGUCAUAUCAGUCAAACAAAUAUACGUUACAUAUUGAUAGCCACAGGGAGAACAAACAUAUAUAUAUUUUAUUUUUCAGAUGACAUUCAGUACAUACUACAGUGUAGGUUUAUGAAUGAAUAAUGAAUAAUGAUUCAUGAAUUUAUGAGCAAAUCUUUAGAAUGUAAUUAUUUUUUAAUGAUAAGCAAAUAUAGUUUUAUCUUGUAAGGGCUACUUUAGGUGAGUGUAAACUAAUGCACUUAUAUUAUCUUUUAUCACUAGCCAAUGCAAACAUCGUGUAUACUAUUUGCUGUAUGAAUAUCUCAAUGAAUUUUGAUAUGGUCACGGACAUACCCCAAAACGAACCUUAUGGACAUAGCGUAUCUGAGAUUUCUUGACAGGGGCAGGGGGGGGGGUGUCCUCCUCCCAUUGUGAGAGCUUUUUUUGCAUUGGAUGUUUGUAAUCGUUCAGUUUGAUGCAUCGACCUGCAUAUGUUUGUUCUAUGAAAAUAUAAGCUGUAGCCUAUUCAAUUCAAUUUAAACAUCGAAUAGUAAUUUACUAAUCUUCGUAAUUUUAAAGGUCGCUUUAAUAUUUGAGGGGAAACAUCUGCUAAUCUUCCGAGAUAUUCGGCUUGCCUUGAAUAAGUAUGUAAAAACCUUGAUUAAAAACAUAUCACACCCUUGAAACAGGUUAAAUAUGUUACAUUUUCCGUGUAAAUUGUACUUGUCACCAGUCAAACAGAAUCGAAAUUACAAACAAGUAUAACAACCACUACCAAUAUCGUUAACGACAAACAACAACAUACUCAACAAUACAAUGGAUAUCUCCAAUACACUUCGUAUAUUAUUAUGUUAGAAGUUUUUGAGUUUUAUUGUCAUUUUUCCCCUUUUUUUCUGGGGCGGACGGGCAAUGGAGCAGUCUACUCCCCCUCCUUUCGUAUACGCUAGUGCUUUCGAGCUGGAAUGGACGUAUCGCUUUGUUUACCUGUCACGUGGACAUACCAAACCGUUUGAGAGUGAGAUUAUUUUCCUCCUGAUUUACGACGAGACAAUAUAAAGCAACAGAUUUUAAUAUCACAAGCCUUGUAUUUCUAUUUGGUUGUUGUUUAUCGGACCCUAUAAAAUUGAAGAUCAGACUCGUG